rnacentral:rRNA from 1 species
UACGUAGGUGGCAAGCGUUGUCCGGAAUUACUGGGUGUAAAGGGAGCGUAGGCGGGAAAGCAAGUUGAAUGUUUAAGGUACGGGCUCAACCUGUACAAGCGUUCAAAACUGUUUUUCUUGAGUGGAGUAGAGGUAAGCGGAAUUCCUAGUGUAGCGGUGAAAUGCGUAAAUAUUAGGAGGAACACCAGUGGCGAAGGCGGCUUGCUGGGCUUUAACUGACGCUGAGGCUCGAAAGCGUGGGUAGCAAACAGG